CCGUAGUUAAGCUCAGUAGGGCGCGGUUAGUACUUGGAUGGGUGACCGCCUGGGAAUACCGUGUGCUGUAGGCA
rnacentral:rRNA from 1 species